rnacentral:rRNA from 1 species
UACGUAGGGCGCAAGCGUUAUCCGGAAUUAUUGGGCGUAAAGAGCUCGUAGGCGGUUUGUCGCGUCUGCCGUGAAAGUCCGGGGCUCAACUCCGGAUCUGCGGUGGGUACGGGCAGACUAGAGUGAUGUAGGGGGAGACUGGAAUUCCAGGUGUAGCGGUGAAAUGCGUAGAUAUCUGGAGGAAUACCGGUGGCGAAGGCGGCAUCCUGGACCGGCAUUGACGCUGAGGAGCGAAAGCUAGGGGAGCAAACGGG